rnacentral:lncRNA from 1 species
UAUAUUAAAUUUUUCUUUGCUCGCUACGCCCGCCUCGCCUCACGCCUGUCAAAAAGCGUCUGUCAACGAAUUUUGUUCGAAAUUUUAUUUUUAGCAGUUUAUUAUUAUAUGUUUGAAUCGAAAUCUAUUUUCGAUGGAUGUAAAUCUGAUGCCUAUUUUACAAAUAGUCAAGAGUAUCUAUGGCAAAAAUACAUAAUUUCAACAAAUGACAAAGAUGACAAAGCCAGAUUUCGGUAUUUCCUGCACAUGGAGCUGCAUAUCCUAUUUAGAAUCCUGGUCACGAUGAUGGAUGGAAGACAUUGAUGAAAUAAUAUUAUAUUGGGUAUUAUUACAUAUUGUAUUGCUUGAAUUGACAAGUUAAGUAGAUGGUGAUAAUAAGAAUAUAAUUUUCUUGAGUAUGUUGUGGGUUUCUUCUGAAAUCCAGCAAGUUCAUAGAAUUUACAUUUAUUAUAAAAUAUUAUUUAGUUCACCUCUAUAACAAAAAACAGAAAUAUUCUGUGCAUUUCGCAGAAGCCUGCUUUCAUUGUCACGCUAGAAGAAGAUUGAAAAUUUUGUAUUAUAACUAUUGAUAUU